rnacentral:sRNA from 1 species
UUGUGUUGGGUCGGGGUGGGAUGUGGUUGGGGUGGACACACACUUUCCAUUCCUGUGACACUUGGUUGGCACAAUCUUCCCCAUCAGUGUGAGACCCUGUGAGGCAAAAGACCUCUCACCUGUCCCUACAGCCAUUUCUGACAUUUCCUGCUAACUAGAUAACACAAGAAGGUUUCCACUCCCAGGAUGGAGGGCUCACUCUCCCUAGGACUUUGGGGACCCUUGCUCAUCUCACAGGCCCAAUGAUUUGGGUGGCCCUGCCACCUCCACUCUCUCUUGCCUUUAGACUAAUUGCCAAGUGGAACAGACCCAGAAAACAAAUAGUUUCCACCCACAGACACCCAGGGGAGCAGGCUGGAUGAGUUCACACCCCCCAAAACUUCCACCUGCUCCUCUGUACGAACCCAAUGCUCCAGAGCUCUCUUCUAAAAUAACAUCAAAAGAAUGUACUCCCUUGCUUAACACCCCCAGUUCUAGGUAACAUCUUCAGAGCAUUCCAAAGUGCACAUCUACAGGGGAGUGCAGGGGACACAAAGACUGAACUGCUUGCCUUCCUACCUGGCCUGUUAGCUUGGGUUAAGUUCAAUGUAGGUCAGACAGCAUACCCCUGGGGCACACCGUCCCGUCCCUUUCUCCAGGCCUCUCAAUACUUCCUCAGAAUUUUCCUUCCUUUGGAUCCACUUGUCUGCAGUUCAGGAGUCAGUGCAGGGGCCAAGACUCAGCAGCCUCCCCUAAAGUGAAGCUGACCUUGGGUACCCGCCUUCCCCCACUUCCCAUUUCCUACAAAUCUCCUUAACUUGGUUCCAACCACACCUCACCCCCACCUCAGUCCAAGGCAAGCUCAGAGACACCCUGACUAUUCUGUUCAUAGUCACAUUCCCAGAGCCUGCCACACCUCAGAAGUCAAACAACCACUCACAAAGCAAAGGAAAAAACUACAAUAAAACCAGAACCCAAUUCCCAAAGCUCUGUGAGCCCUGCUUUUUCAGUCUUCAAUAUAGGAGUGCAGAGCUCAGUGUGGAGAACCCAUAGUCCCAGCUCCUUGUGAAGCUGAGGCAGGACGAUCACUGGAGAGAAUAGCCCAGGGAAGAGGGAAGACCUCAUCUUAAAAAGCUAAAUGUUUUCAGCCUAGUACCAGCUUGGUGGGAUAAGGGAGGUGCCCUGUUGACUUGAAUGGAGAGGCAGUAAGACAGUCUUCUAAGGUAACUUUCCAUUAGACCACUGAGGUCACUUAACACAGGAAAAAAUAACACACACUGGGACCCAAACAUGUGCACUGACCUGCUUCCAGUAGGAAAAGGUUGUACCCCUCAUAUCCCAAGUGACUGACUCCCUAGAUAUCUGAAAUGUCUGAGGCUGGUGCUUCCAAGAGUGUGCUCCCGGGCAGUGGUAGGAGGCCAGGGCUAGGAUUUGGACAGGGGGAGGGAAACUGCAAACACAGGCCUGCAUGUGGACUGGUGAAUCCUGACAAAGGCCAGGGAUGCAGUAGACAUUCUGGGACCCCUGACUCCGUUUGAUGGCAGGACCUCUACUCACCACCAUAGGAAGGAAGGAGGCUUGUGUUUGGCCAUCAUCCUAACGUGGUAGGCAGCAGGGUAUGUGUUAAAUUGCUUUGUUUAGGAGAAGGAACUUGGGGUUCCAGAAUGCCUGGGUCGCUCAGUCUGUCUUCCUCAUCUGAGAUGUUGCCAACCUAUUCCCAUAGGCUUAUUUGCAUAGUGUCAUGGUCACUUAACCUGUGUCCUACCCUGGCCCCAACACCAAAACCAGAGAAAUAACACCGGUAAAUAUUAGCCACUUUCAUCUCAUAAUCUGUUCCCUCAUGCUAUUCCUUCUCUGAGACCCUCUGAUCCCUCCUCUCUGUGAUAGGCAGUUGCUGCAGGGACCACCCUACCCCACUGCAUAGUUCUCUGGCCUGGAUACUUAGCUGGAGUUGAAGUUCCCAUGGUUACUACCGGUGCAUAUUUAUUGAACAUGUGGAUGUGCUCAGCACUGUGUGAGGCACUGUCCAUACACCAGCAUCCCCACAAUGUUGCCCUGCCCACUGCUACAUCCUCACAGAUGCAUCAAUGAGUCCUUGGCACACAGAAACAUGCCCAGGUUAUGACUUUCUUCCUGAGGCUGCUGGCUAUAAGAGCUGGCUCCAUCUGGGGAAGCAGACACCAGAAACCCGUGAGAGGGCAGAGGAGAGACAGAUCCAGGCCCUCCAGAGGGAGAGAGGCAAGGGGCUGAGGACUUGAUCAUUUAACUGGCACUACAAGACUCAGGUACUGUACAAACAUUCUCUCCUCACAGGGCUGAGCAGAGGAGUAAGGGUACUAAUAGAGAAGCUGAAGAAGCCAUAGAGGUCAGGCUGCUGGAAAUGCUGGCCCUGAAGCAGAAAGCCCUACCUCCAAGCCUUGCUUCAGUCUGGAGCCACUGACCCAUGCUUUGCCACUGCAGAAAGAACAACAGAGGCUUAGAAUCCCUUCACCUCCAGCCCAGGCCCAUCCUAGGAGGUUCCUGGAUAUGAAGUCAGGCCUCUCCCCUUUGUCAGUGACAAGACAGGCAGACACUUCCAGGAGAGGAAAAGGAAAAGACCCGGAAGUAGCAGCAAUGAGAUGGGCAGGAGGGCAGGCGUUGCACACUAGGGGUGGGGGAGGGUACCAGCACCUUUGAGAUGGAGCGGCCAAGGGCAUGAACCUCGGUGCUGGAUGCUGUUGGCCCCGGAGCUAGAGGGAUGACCUGUGGGAUGACGACUGCAUAGCGACAUGGGCACCUCGAUGCGUUUAAUGAAAGUAAAUAACUAGAGGGGCUUUGUAAAAACUGCCUUUCGGAAGCAGGACAGACGCUUAGCUGCUGAGCCCUGGCAAAUCUUCAGCACCAAACGAAACAAAACACAGCACACGUGCACAGGCCCACUGCCACCACUGGACUGCACUCCCAACACGGGCAAACCAGUGAAAUUUGGAAGUCUGAUUAGUGGGUGGACCCCCUUCAGAGACCCACAGGCUGCCUGCCCUGAAGAGAAGCAGGAAAUUCUGCCCAAGUGGAAGGUUUCUGGGGCUCUCCACAAUUGGAAGGCUCUCAUACUGGCUGGAGACUCCAUAGAAGGCACUGGUCAUCGAUGUUGGUGUUGAGGUCUGCCUUCCAGAGACAGAGGAAGGUGUGUUGUCUGCUGGUGUGUCCUAGGGUUCCAAGGACCAGAGAACAGGACUUUCAAAGAAUGGGUCCAGGGGCAGACAAGGAGAGCCAGUAGACUUAAGUUCAUUUUCACCAAUAUGGAUAAUGUGGGAAUUUUACAGGGGUUAUGCAUGUUUAGCAUAGUACUCUUGGUACAUUGUAGGUUCGGAAGGGCCAGUGUCUAAGCAAAGAAAACUGCACACCUAUUGGUUUUGUGCUGGUUGGUAGGAAACAAAAGGGAUAAUUGGAGUGAACUGUCUGUAGGUACCACUUGUGACCCUGUGGCACAAACGUCCAGUGGCUGCAUGCACAUUGAAAUCACCUGUCUCCACCUGAACACCCUUUACCAGUGCUCUCUAGACAAAGCUGGGAAGCAAUUUACUCUAGGGAAGAAACAGUUCACAUUCCAUUAUUAGAAAAGUUACUUGCUUUUGUAACUUUUGCUACAUAUUUUAUUUGUAUCUAAAUGUCUUAGGCAAUCUAAGAACAAAUGUAAAAGUAAAGAUGCAGUAAAAAGGAAUUGCUUGGUGUUCCUGGCCCCCGUGUGUGAACAAAAGCCUUAAACAAAGACAGCUGUAAACAAAGUCCCAUGGGUUAAGCUUCUUUUCUUCUUCUUUUAGCUUUUUGGUUUUUGACUUUUGUAAUUUUCUUUUUUGAUACUUAACAUGUAUGUGCUCUAAAAAAUAAUUAACAUGGAAAUAGAUUGAGAUGUUGCCUUUAAUGUCUUAUGAUAUUUUCAUGACAAUCCAAGCACAAUGUUAAGAACACUUGUAUUAAAGUUCGUGUGAGCAGAAUAAAAAUUUUAUGAAUGGAUUUUUUUCAACUAUCAAAAAAAAGAAAAGAAAAAUGGGGGCAGGACUUGGGUACAGCUCAGUGAAAGAACCUUUGACCUGGAAGGACUAGAAGGAGAGAAGAAAAAAACAAUUGGUUCAUGGCAGGCAUGGGAGAGCCUCUGCUAUCCCCGAAUCCUGGCUCGGUGCCAGUCUUUCUGGUUUGCUUCCAAAACAGUGAGAAUUAAGUUCAUAGCUGCCCACGUGGGUGCAUGUGAAUUAAUUCUUGGUUGCAUAGUGUAUAAAUUACUUUAAGUUUGCUGUAACUAAAUACUGCAGACAGCCUAAGAGAGGAGAGAUUUAUAUCGCCAUCCCAGUCCCUCAUAGCAGGGUAGGCAUGGCAGAAUGAGUCCAUCUAGUACUAAGGAGACAAGAUGGUGGCUGUUCAGAUGGCAUGGGACAGGAAACCAAUGCCACAAGCCCAAACCAGGAGUGUGUAUAACCUUCAAGGACUUGCCCCUAGUCUUAUUGUCAUUGACAAGCCCCAUACCUCUUAAAAGCUCCAUUGCCUACAAAAUAGAGCCACAGGCUGAGGACUGGGAACUCCAUUCACUGCAGACUCAAAACACAUCCCUGGCCCAGAGAGGGUCAUGCGCAUGCAGUCAGAAGUGCCCAGAGUAUAGCCUCUUCUGUGGUAAUCUGAGCUAUGAGCCCUGCAAAAUCAGAAAUGAGGCCACAUAGAUCUAUAAACCUUACACCAUCAGAAAGGAAAACCACACAGUUCCCACCCAUCAUAAAGCCGAGUAGACAUUCCCAUGUCAAAGAGACAGCAGGGGAGAGCAGCAAGAAGAGACCCGGUGCUGGAAAGAGGAAGACUCAGUGGCUAAGAGAACUUGCUGCUCUGACAGAAAACAGGAGUUCAUCUCCCAGCACCCAUGUUAAGCAAGUCAUGCCCUCUUCGGUUCUCUUCCUGCCUCCAUGGGGACCCAUACACACGAGAUCACAUAUACACAGAGGCAUAGCCACAAAACCUUUAAAGAAAAAGGUUGCAACUCUGGAAUGUAAACACAAGAUUCUACAGUUCCAUAUCUGACAUCCAGGGAUAAGGAGAUAUCUGAGGUGCAAGAGUCUAGGCAUUCAAGCCCCCCUGUUCUGCCAUUUGCACUUAUGGCCUCUCCCAUGAGUUGGCUCUGCUGCAUACCUAGAGCUUUCUCUGGUAGACGUCUCACAUCUCAAGCAGUUUCAAUGUCCAGAGGCUUCUACUACAACCUAGACAUCUUCAUGCAUCAGAGAAUCCAACCCUUCCUCACACUGUGCGGCCCCACAGGAUUUUUUUCAAACCCUGACAUCAGCCUGUGACCCUGUAACUUGUGCCUUCCGCAAACACAUAGAUAAUGGUAAGUUCUACUGCUAACUCAAGAGAUAGCUGGGUCCCCACAGACCAUGGCAGAUGUCCUCCAGGUGCGUGUGAUACUGAACUUGGUAAGCAUCUCCAGAAGGUCAACCAUUCGGCUCUUUAGUUUUGGGAGGGAAGUUAUUUGAUGUGCAUGAGUACACCCAUGCCAGAGGAAGCAUGAGAGAGCCAAAGGGCAACUUUUGGGUAUCGGGUACUGGUUCCCUUCUUCUAAUGUGUGAAUCAAUAGGCUUGGAGUCAGGGGCAGAUACCAAGUCAUCUCACUGACACAUUCUUUUGAAUUUCAAUUCAGGAAUUCUUUUACACAUCUGCAUGAGUGUGUGUGUGU